CUUCAACGAGCCGAGCCACAAAGGCUGUCCGGCGGGCCGAUCCUGGCCGUACGUGGCCAGCAGCGCCUGCGCCUC
rnacentral:antisense_RNA from 1 species